rnacentral:rRNA from 1 species
CUCCUGGAAACGGGUGGCAAUGCCGGAUGCUCCGCCCCCUCGCAUGGGGGGUCGGGAAGGCUUUUGCGGAAUGGGAUGGGGUCGCGUCCUAUCAGCUUGUUGGCGGGGCGACGGCCCACCAAGGCUUCGACGGGUAGCCGGCCUGAGAGGGCGACCGGCCACAUUGGGACUGAGAUACGGCCCAGACUCCUACGGGAGGCAGCAGUGGGGAAUAUUGCACAAUGGGGGGAACCCUGAUGCAGCGACGCCGCGUGCGGGAUGGAGGCCUUCGGGUCGUGAACCGCUUUUGAUUGGGAGCAAGCGUGAGUGAGUGUACCUUUCGAAUAAGCACCGGCUAACUACGUGCCAGCAGCCGCGGUAAUACGUAGGGUGCAAGCGUUGUCCGGAAUCAUUGGGCGUAAAGGGCUCGUAGGCGGUUCGUCGCGUCCGGUGUGAAAGCCCAUCGCUUAACGGUGGGUCUGCGCCGGGUACGGGCGGGCUUGAGUGCGGCAGGGGAGGCUGGAAUUCCCGGUGUAACGGUGGAAUGUGUAGAUAUCGGGAAGAACACC